rnacentral:rRNA from 1 species
AGUAAUGCAUCGGAACAUGUCCAUUCGUGGGGGAUAGCCCGGCGAAAGCCGGAUUAAUACCGCAUACGCCCGAGAGGGGAAAGCCGGGGACCGCAAGGCCUGGCGCGAUUGGGUUGGCCGAUGUCCGAUUAGCUAGUUGGUGGGGUAAAGGCUUACCAAGGCGAUGAUCGGUAGCUGGUCUGAGAGGAUGAUCAGCCACACUGGGACUGAGACACGGCCCAG